UCCGGCUUGUCACCGGCAGUUUCCUUAGAGUUCCCAGCUUAACCUGUUGGCAACUAAGGAUGAGGGUUGCGCUCGUUGCGGGACUUAACCCAACAUCUCACGACACGAGCUGACGACAGCCAUGCAACACCUGUCUCUUAUCCAGCCGAACUGAAGGCCCUCCAUUACAAGGGCCGCGAUAAGGAUGUCAAGGGUUGGUAAGGUUUUUCGCGUAGCAUCGAAUUAAACCACAUGCUCCACCGCUUGUGCGGGUCCCCGUCAAUUCCUUUGAGUUUUAAUCUUGCGACCGUACUCCCCAGGCGGGGUGCUUAACGUGUUAACUGUGUCACUGAGGAAACCCCCAACGACUAGCACCCAUCGUUUACGGCGUGGACUAC
rnacentral:misc_RNA from 1 species